UCCAUGCUGUCUGCCCUUUAAACAGUGUGGCUCUCUGCAAGCCUCUUAAUGGUGAUGGAAAGAAGAGGCAGGAAUGAAAAUCUGGCUUGCUGAUAGAGCCUACAACAUGCAUUUUAUUAAGUUGCUGCUUUCAGAAAGGAAGUUUCUCCUUGAGCCCUGUAUGUCACCAUUACAUUGCCAACACUAAAUUAUUUUUUUUUCUUUUCAGUGUUCCACUUUCAUGCAUAUUUUCCUCCUUUCUGGGUGAUAGAGGAUUCAUAGGCCAUCUGGAUUCUGAAACAUCUGGACACCGAAUUUCUGCAGAGGAGAAUCAGAGGAAAGAGACGAUCAGUGGUAUUGGGUGUCUCCGGAGAGAUUUAAAUCAACGAUGAUAUUUUGGUUGUCUCCCUCUUGGAACAUUAACACAAAACGUGAAAGGAAAAAACAACACAUCACAGGAACCCAGUGUUUCAAGAAUACCAAGACUAUAUAAGAAGUGAACGGUGCUAUCACAAACAUCAACUUCUAACCAGAAAAAGGCAUCAUGAGGAAGCCUCUCCUUGGUCAUUUUAGGAACCCGAAGAACAAGUUGUAAGCAGAGAGAAAUAUUCCUUUUUCCACUGGAACUUAUUGAAGCAGGUCCCAGACCCAACGAGAAAGAUGCCUGAAUUGCCUUUUGAUUUUUGCACUUACAGCCUUGGAUCAUGGACAACUCUGGUGCCGACAACUAGUACUAAUAGCUCAGAAGUAAAGAAGUAAACAACGCUGAGUUUUUCUCACUUCACAGAAACUCUGAAAUGACUCCAGAUUACCAUGCGCUCCUUGCUUCCCCUCUGCUUUUUUCACUCUGAGGAUUUGAAGUCAGGAGGCAAUCAGCCCCUGAGGUGUAAACAACAAGAGAUUACUCAUUGAUGGUAUAAACAGAAGAAGAGUACAGAAGUUCAGGCCAGGACCCAGUUGUCAUCUGAAGAGAUACAUUAGCUACAAAGCCUGUCCAAACGGUCAUCACAAAUAGGUUUCAGAAUGUUUUAUAUGGACCUGAGCCACGUUUUUACCUUGUCCGUAUACUGAAAAGAUGAUCUAUCACAGGGCAACGAACUUUCAAAUAACAAUAAAAAUUAUUUGAUUAGGAGGAAAGAACAGGGGUGGAGUGGGAGGGAAUGAUUAACCUCCCCGUGACUCACAUAGAGCCUGAGCCACUGGGGAUGAGUUGGCCACGACAGAAUUUAUACCACACUACAGGCUGAAUUUCAACAAGUUAUUUAGGAUGAUUUUGUGACUAAGCAUGAAAUUGGAAUUAUAUUGUCUCCUGUGUCCAAGUAAUAUAAACAUUUUUUUCUUCAUUAUUUCAGAUUUUUUAAAUUCUUGUGCUUCUUUAGAAUGAGCUCACAAAAUAACUGUACUUUGUAAACUACAAAAGGAAACGUAUGUCCUUUUAUUUCCAUUGUGUUGGAAGGAUUUGGUAAGGAAUGUUAAUGUAAAUUAUUACUUAUUAUGUGGCUAUUAUUAUUAUGAUGAUGAUUAAUUAUUAUUACCAACUCUAAGCUAGUCCUCCACAUCCAAACACUUUGCACCUGCAAAACAAGACAUUCAUUCAAAUUUAAUUUGUGUUUCUUCCUUUGUUCUCAAUCCAGUUUGAUUUCAGCUAGUUUUCACUCACCUCCUAACCCAUAGCCCAAACUUUCAUUUGCUGCUGGUUCCUAGAAUUUGGGACUUGAUAUUGAAGGGAGAAAAACACCAUAAUUUUCUUAAGAAAUGCAUUUUUUAAAAGUAUUUAAUACUCAUUCAAAAUUUAUUUUUGAAACCCUUUAGGGGCUCCUGUCUUGCACAGUUGGUUAAGCCUCUGCCUUCAGCUCAGGUCAUAAUCUCAGAGUCCUGGGAUUGAGCUCCACAUCAGGCUCCCUGCUCAGCGGGGAGUCUGCUUCUUCCUUUCCCUCUGCCCUCCCCCGCCUCACCCCCACCCCGCUGCUUGUUUGUGCUUGAGUACAUGCUCUUUAUCUCUCAAAUAAAUGAAUAAAAUCUUUAAAAACAAAAACCCCUUUAAAAGUUAUAACUGGAAAUAAACUUUCUUAACCUGAGAAAUGACAUCAUUGUAAAUCUAUAGCAAUCAUCAUAUUUAAUAAAUUCUAUAAAAUUAUAGAAUAACUCCCAUUUAAAUCACAAACAAAACAAGAUGUCCACUAUCCUAUUAUCACGGAUUUUAUACAAUAUUAUCAUGGACAUCUUACAAUAAUAAGGUAAGAGAGUAAAAUAAAAUGUAUAAAAACCAGAAAAAACAAAAUUGCCAUCUCCAUACAACAGGAUUAUCUACAGAGUAUAUUCAAAAUAAUCUACAUACAAACUAUUGAAACUGGGAACAGUGUUCAAAAAAGUGAUUAGAUGAAAGUAAUUUAACUAGUUGACACGUAUUUUUUUUUUAAAUUUUAUGUAUUUAUUUGAGAGAGAGUGCACACACAAGCAGGGGGAGGACAAGGGGGAAGGGCAGGGGAAAAAAGCAGACUCCCUGCUGAGCAGAGAGCCUGAUCCAGGGCUGGAUCAAAAGACCCUGAGGUGAUGACCUGAGCCACCCAAGUGACCCUAAUUAGCUAAUACAUACUGUAUUCUUACUGUGGGCCAGGCACAGUUCUAGGUAUUUUCCAUAUAUUAUUAACUAAUAAUAUUAACUAAUCUAAUGCAAUUAAGUUGAGAAUAACACAGUUACUAUUUCCAAAGAAAACUGAUGUACAGAAAGAUAAAAUAACUUUCUGUUAUAGGUUGAAUUGCAUUCCCCAGAAGAUAUGGUGAAACCCUAACUCCUAAAACCUGUGAAUAUGACCUUAUUGAAAACCAGAUCUUUGCAGCUAUAAUCAAUUUAAGAUGACCUCGGUAGGGUGGGCCCUAAUCCAAUGUGACUGAUGCCCUUUUAAGAAGAGGUGAAUUUGGACAUAGACACACACAAGAAAGAAUGCCAGGUGGCAACAAAGUCAGAGAUUGGAGUCAUGUGGCUACAAACCAAGGAAUGCCAAAGACUCCCAGCAACCAAAAGGAGCUAGGAAGAGGAAAGGAAGGAGUCCCUUACAGUUUUUGAGGGGGAUCAGGAACCUGCCAAGAGUUUGAUUUCAGAUGUUUAGCUUCCAGAACAGUGAGACAAUAAAUUUCUGUUGUUCUGAACCACCCAGUUUGUGGUACUUCGUGAGGGCAGCACCAGCAAACUAAUAAACUCACCAAGACUCCCACAGUUAGUAGUACAAUGACAAAGCUGGGAUACAAGAUUAGCAUGUCAAAAUCAAUACCGUCAACACCAGUAAAAACAAACCAGAAAAUAUAAUGUAAAAGCAGAUACUGUUUACAAUUACAUAAAACACAAGGU